UACGUAGGGUGCGAGCGUUAAUCGGAAUUACUGGGCGUAAAGCGUGCGCAGGCGGUUUUGUAAGCCAGAUGUGAAAUCCCCGGGCUCAACCUGGGAAUGGCAUUUGGGACUGCAAGGCUCGAGUGCGGCAGAGGAGACUGGAAUUCCUGGUGUAGCAGUGAAAUGCGUAGAUAUCAGGAGGAACACCAGUGGCGAAAGCGGCCACCUGGACUGCACCUGACGCUGACACGCGAAAGCUAGGGGAGCGAACGGG
rnacentral:rRNA from 1 species